rnacentral:lncRNA from 1 species
AUAUUGAACUCUUAGCGGGGUAUGGGAGACUCACCAUUACCAAGCCCACCUCCCGAUGAUACGAUAUUGGUUAGCAAAAAUAAUGAUGAGAGAAUAACGCAUUAUUCAUUUACAACUUUUGUAAUUACCCAUCCGUUUGGCCUCUAGAGAAUGUUGCCUCACGAUGAUACGAUAUCGGCACCAUUGCACUUAGUUAAGUCAUUCCCACCAUGCUUAGUUCAUGAAGGGGUUCAAGAAUAGCCUCACAAUGAUAUGAUAUCGGCUAUCCUCGUUGCCUACACUCACCUCAUCAUAUGUUUAUGGACUCCUCCUGGAUGUAAGCACAUACUUUGUACUCCCCCAUGAUAGGGUGAAGCCGGUGCAUGAGUCACAAACGAUUGGAGCCCACCACGGUAGAAGGCCUACGAAGAAAUGUUCAAAACAUCUCUCGCUUAUCAACUUAAUAUUCGUUAGUCGAGGGAGUAGUUUUGGGCUACAUCAAAAUCAUUUUAAUCAUAUUAAAAGAACAUGGGCCUAUCACAACUAUUGGUCCAAGUUUAAUAUGAAUUAGUAGUUUAUAAUACUCCCACUAUUUCGAAGAAAUAAGUGAGACUAUAUGGAACUACUAACGAAUGCAUUGCAUCCUCAUGGACUAUAUAGUCAUAUUAGGUCUUAGGAUGAUUAUGACCCGAUUAAUUUGAUCCAACACGAGCCUUGUGUUAGACCUUGGGUUUAAGGUAGAUAGUUGUUGAUUUUAGUUACGCGUUUAAUCCAAUUAAACCGUUAUUUCCUAUUGGGCGUUGGACCCAACUAUUCCAUUUUACAUACAAAUAAACAAAAGGAAUACAUGAAAUAAUAAGAAGGGCUUAAGCCCUUUUACAACACAAAUCAAAUGAUGGACUUAUGUCCAUUUACAACAAAUUGAAUUAAUCAAAUUACAUUCAAAUCUAUACUACUAAAACCCAAACAUUCAUAAUGUAAAGCGGCCAAUCACAUAGCUCAAUUAUCGAGGCCUUUGGUUCAUAAUCACCAUUUUCUCAAUUAAUCACAUUAACUAAGAAAGCAACUUAAACAAUUGGUUUUUGGAUCCAUAGAAUUGAUUUAAAUGGAACUAAAUGAAAUGAAAAUCCAAUUCUCAUUAAAGAGACAAAACAAUUUUGUUCUCAUUUUAUUUGGGCCAAAAGGAAACUAUGACCACAACAAUUGGGCCAUAAUGCAAAUACAAAAGCUUUUGGGGUCACUUUGUAAAAACACAAUAGUCCACAACUUCAUGUAAUUACAACUAGAUCCCAAAAUUUUAUUAAUGUAAAAACAUCAUUAAAGGAUCAAAACAAUUCGUCCUUUAGCGUUUUAGGGCCUUAACGUAAAAACGUAAACUUUUGGGCCAAAGUGCAAAUACACAAAAGUAUCAAAACUUUAUGUAAUUGCAUAAAAGAUCCCAAAAGUACCCCCACUAGGGGGUGGCCGGUUUUUAGAGAGGUAAAGUAGUGUGAAAGGGUUUUAUGCAAGUUGAGCAUGCAUGUGCAAAAUGCAAGUGGAUUUUGGUCGGUGAGUUAUUGGUGAAAUUGAUAUCUAUGACAAAUCAUUAAAACCAUUUCAUCACAUCUCACCAAUAACCAUCAACCAUCAAUUAAUAAACCAAAACUUUAUGAAAAACAUAAAACUUUAGAAUCAAAACUUCAAACCCUUUUGUUCUUGGCAAGAACUUCAAGAACAUUGAAGAACACCAUGAAAACUCAUAAUAGCUCCAUGAAUGUUUUCAAUCACCAAAACUCAAUUUUUCACCUCUCAAAAGAGGGCUAAUAUCCUAGGGUACUUAGGGGUUCCAAAAGUCACCUUAAAACCAUUUUAACAAGACAAACAUGAACCCAAAAAAUCACCCUAAGGAUUUGGCCGAAUUUCCCAAAAUACAUGGCACCAAAUUUUAGUUCCAAUAUUCAUGCUUGAAUGAAAUACAUCUACAACAUUUGAGAUGCUAAAUUUUCUAGCAAAUUUAUAUAUUCAAAAGCAAGAACAAAGCUUGUAACAUUUACAACAUUUAAAUCACAAAAUAUGAAAGUCACAAAACCCAAAAGGAUUCACCAUAAACUAGGCCUAGGCUCUGAUACCACUUGAAGGAAAAAUUUUGUCCUAGCUAAGAACAAGUAUGAACAUUUGAAUACUCAUGCAAGCAAUUAACACUUUAAAGUAGGCAUGCAUUAAAAAACAAUUCAUAAAACCCAUGACUUUCAAAGCCUAGUAUAUGGUGAACCAAUAAACUCUUUGACAACAUUAAAGAGAAGUAAAGAUUUAGAGUUUCUUUACCCU